rnacentral:ncRNA from 2 species
UGAGGGGGAUUGAGCGCUGGUGCCUGUCUUAUGGCAGGCCAAAAGGGAAUGCGACAGGUUUUGCGACACACCCGUGUUGCCUGACCGAAGCGCAGCCGCCCCCGCGACCGUGACCGGAAAGGUCCGCCCAUGCCACUGGCCGCAAGGUUCGGGAAGGGGGGCGAACCGCUGAAGCAAGGUGCAAGCCCCGCUUCGAGAUCCGCAAGCCGGGAGACCUGCCAGUGCACGAACUGAAAC